CUCUACUAUUAUCUAGUAUUACUAUAUUUUUCCAUUAACAUAAAAAAGCAUAUUCUUUCUCAUUUUUAUUGAAUAAAUAAAAGUAAUAAAUAAGCAAAAUUUUCAUUUUUAUCUAUUUUCAAUUGAAUUUAAAUUGUAAAAAAAAAAAACUUCAUAAAAGAUUAGGAAAAGUAAAAGUAUAUGAUAUAGAAACCUAUAAUAUAAAUGAAUACAAAUAAAAACAAACAAAUCGAACCAAACUAUAAAAAGUACUUGUUAUUUUUAAAGUUUAAAGAAACUAUGUAAGGCAAAUAGUACUAAAUAAAAAAAAGGAGCAAUAACGCCCUCUUGUUUUAUCAAGAGGGAAGCUAUUGCUCCUUUUUUAGUUCAAAAACUCCUAUACAAUCAGACCAAAGUC
rnacentral:misc_RNA from 1 species